UACGAAGGGGGCUAGCGUUGCUCGGAAUCACUGGGCGUAAAGCGCACGUAGGCGGCUUCUUAAGUCAGGGGUGAAAUCCUGGAGCUCAACUCCAGAACUGCCUUUGAUACUGAAGAUCUUGAGUUCGGGAGAGGUGAGUGGAACUGCGAGUGUAGAGGUGAAAUUCGUAGAUAUUCGCAAGAACACCAGUGGCGAAGGCGGCUCAAUGGCCCGAUACUGACGCUGAGGCACGAAAGCGUGGGGAGCAAACAGG
rnacentral:rRNA from 1 species